AGAGUUUGAUCAUGGCUCAGGAUGAACGCUGGCGGCAUGCCUAAUACAUGCAAGUCGAACGGGAAAGACUUGUCUUUCCAGUGGCGAACGGGUGAGUAAUGCGUAGACAACUUGCCUUUAAGACGAGGAUAACGGCUGGAAACGGCUGCUAAUACUGGAUAGGAUAAAGAGUCGCAUGACUUUUUAUUUAAAGGCGCGCUUGCGCCGCUUAAAGAGAGGUCUACGUCGCAUUAGCUAGUUGGUGGGGUAACGGCUCACCGAGGCGACGAUGCGUAGCUGUGCUGAGAGGCAGAACAGCCACACUGGGACUGAGACACGGCCCAGACUCCUACGGGAGGCAGCAGUAGGGAAUUUUCGGCAAUGGGGGCAACCCUGACCGAGCAAUGCCGCGUGAACGACGAAGGUCUUCGGAUCGUAAAGUUCUGUGAUUGGGGAAGAACAGCAUGAUCAGGAAAUGGGUCAUGUUUGACGGUACCCGAUUAGAAAGCCCCGGCUAACUAUGUGCCAGCAGCCGCGGUAAAACAUAGGGGGCGAGCGUUAUCCGGAAUUAUUGGGCGUAAAGAGUACGUAGGCGGCCUGUUAAGUCUGAUGUGAAAUCCCGCGGCUUAACCGCGGAGGGUCAUUGGAAACUGGCAGGCUUGAGUACGGCAGGGGUAAGUGGAAUUCCAAGUGGAGCGGUGAAAUGCGUAGAUAUUUGGAGGAACACCAGUGGCGAAGGCGGCUUACUGGGCCGGAACUGACGCUGAGGUACGAAAGCGUGGGGAGCAAACAGGAUUAGAUACCCUGGUAGUCCACGCCGUAAACGAUGAGCACUAAGUGUCGGAUAUAAAUUCGGCGCUGUAGUUAACACAUUAAGUGCUCCGCCUGGGGAGUACGGUCGCAAGACUGAAACUCAAAUGAAUUGACGG
rnacentral:rRNA from 1 species